rnacentral:rRNA from 1 species
CCUACGGGUGGUUGCAGUGGGGAAUCUUGCGCAAUGGGCGAAAGCCUGACGCAGCGACGCCGCGUGGGUGAUGAAGGCCUUCGGGUUGUAAAGCCCUGUGGGGAGGGACGAAUAAAGCCGACCUAAUACGUCGGCGGAUGACGGUACCUCCUUAGCAAGCACCGGCUAACUCUGUGCCAGCAGCCGCGGUAAGACAGAGGGUGCAAACGUUGUCGGGAAUUGCGGGGCGUAAAUUGGGUAAGGCCGGUUUGAAAGCCCGGGGCUCAACCUCGGAAGUGCAUUCGAUACUACCAGACUAGAGUACUGGAGAGGAUGGUGGAACUCUCGGUGUAGAGGUGAAAUUCGUAGAUAUCGAGAAGAACACCGGUGGCGAAGGCGGCCAUCUGGACAGAUACUGACGCUGAGACGCGAAAGCGUGGGGAGCAAACAGGAUUAGAUACCCCUGUAGUC